rnacentral:lncRNA from 1 species
CGGCAACUAUUUUAAAAAGCGACUUCUCUAUUAUUCACAGAAAAAGAAAAUCAGAAAAAGCAAUUUUGGAAAAGCAAAUUUUCUAUUCUCUACGGCAACUAUUUUAAAAAGCGACUUCUCUAUGAUGUACAGCAACUUUCAGUCUCUUAAUAAUGUAGUAUUGUUUGGUCAAAGCAACUUCGUCUAGAUAAAAACCUGGGAGGUCCCCGUCUUCUCUAUGGCAGGCUCCACACCAGUUAUCUCAUUGGGAGCCUCUGUGACAAUAAUUCCAUCAGCAGCCUGCGCGUACAGCAUGUUAAGAAUUAGUGAAAAGAAAAGCGACCAUAUGACAAAGCAAAAAAAAAAAUUGAAGCGACUCCUCUCCGAAGUUGCCUAAUCAAUCAUGCAAAAUUUGAGAAAAGUCAGGAAAGUUGCUCAAAGAGACUAAAGCAACUUAUUAUUAACACAGCCGGGCAUUUUGAAGUGACUCUUGGCCAAAGUUUGCCUAACCAGUCAUGCAAAAUUUGAAAAGUCGGAAAAGUUGCUCAAAGAGACUAACACAACUUAUAAUUAAUACAACCGAGACUUUUGAACAACACUUGGCCAAAGUUUGCCUAAUCAGUCUCGCAAAAUUCAAGAAAAGUCGAAAAAGAUGCACAAAGAGACUAAAAACAACUUAUAAUUAAUAACACG